AUUGAACGCUGGCGGCAGGCCUAACACAUGCAAGUCGAACGAGUGGCGGACGGGUGAGUAAUGUCUGGGAAACUGCCUGAUGGAGGGGGAUAACUACUGGAAACGGUAGCUAAUACCGCAUACCAUCGGAUGUGCCCAGAUGGGAUUAGAUAGUAGGUGGGGUAAAGGCUCACCUAGGCGACGAUCCCUAGCUGGUCGGAGAGGAUGACCAGCCACACUGGAUCUGAGACACGGUCCAGACUCCUACGUGAGGCAUCAGUGGGGAAUAUUGCACAAUGGGCGCAAUCCUGAUGCAGCCAUGCCGCGUGUAUGUAGAAUGCCUUCGGGUUGUAAAGUACUUUCAGCGGGGAGGCGUUACCCGCAGAAGAAGCACCGGCUAACUCCGUGCCAGCCGCCGCGGUAAUUC
rnacentral:rRNA from 1 species